rnacentral:lncRNA from 10 species
GUGGUGCCUAGAUUUAGACUAUAAGGAUUUUAAAUAACUGUUUCUGAAGAGCAGCUUCACUGGACCUUACAGGAAGUGACAGAAUUGUUCUAGCCAUUGCAUUAUAUAUAAAAGUGACUUUUCCAUGUUACCGUUAACUUUACACUGCUGAGAUAAGCAGGCUGUUGACAAGUUAGCAUCAACAGCACAUUAUCAGAGGAAGAAAGGCUUUUAUUUAGACAAUUUACACAAAUUUAUUAGCCUCCUAUGACUCAGUAAAGCAAUUUGAAAAAAAUAUAGCUUUAUAAAGCGUAAAUGAAUUUAUAUAUUUUAACUAAGGUACCUUCUAGUUAACAGUGCCCAUACAUUUUAGAAAAUGUUUUAGUCUUUACAGAAUAAGUAAGGCAAAAACAGGUCCAGAAGUCUAUAGCUGACCUCCCCUCACCACAAGGCCAAGUUGUUUUUGUUUUUGUUUUUGUUUUUUCAGAAAGAGUUUCGCUCUUGUUGACUAGGCUGGAGUGCAAUGAUGGGAUCUCGGCUCACUGCAACCUCUGCCUGCCAGAUUCAAGUGAUUCUCCUUUCUCAGCCUCCUGACUAGCUAGGAUUACAGAAGCAUGCCACCAUGGCUGACUAAGUUUUGUAUUUUUAGAUGAGACAGGGUUUCAUCAUAUUGGUCAGGGUGUUCUCGAACUCCUGACCUCAGGUGAUCUGCCUGCCUCAGCCUCCCAAUGUGCUGGGUUUUCAGGUGUGAGCCACCACACCCAGCCAAGGCCAAGUCUUUUACUGUUGGAGAGACACAUGUUACAUAUCAGGCAUAUGAGAUGAUGCUCCUCAGUGAUCAUGAGAUAACUUUUGGUAUUAUGAGUGAAAGAAAAAUUAGGGUUGAGGCUGGGCGCAGUGGCUCAUGUCUGUAAAUCCAGCACUUUGAGAGGCCGAGGCAGGAGGAUCACAAGGUCCAGAGUUCGAGACCAGCCUGGCCAAUAUGGUGAAACCCCGUCUCUACUAAAUAAUACACAUAAUUAGCUGGGUGAAGUGGUGCAUGCCUGUAGUCCCAGCUACUCAAAAGGCUGAAGAAGGAGAAUUGUUCAAACCUGGGAAGCAGAGAUUGCAGUGAGCCAAGAUCACACCACUGCACUCCAGCCUGGGCAACAGAGUGAGGCUCUUUCUAAAAAAAAAAAAAAAAAAAAAAGAAAAAGAAAAAGCAAAAGGAAAAAAAAAGAAAAAUUACAGUUGAAAUAAAAAUUAAAGUACAUAAGCAUGAAAAGUAAAGUUUACAUGAGGAAAAAUAUGCCUGGCAUUUAAUCCAGGUAAUGCUGAUUCACAAUAUCCAAAUAAUAACAAUGUAACAUUAUAAGCUUGAUCUAAUACAUGACACCAAUGGAUAUUUUAUUAUAGCUUCUUAAUUAUUUAAAAAGAAUAACAUU